AGUCGAACGGCAGCGCGGGGCAACCUGGCGGCGAGUGGCGAACGGGUGAGUAAUAUAUCGGAACGUACCCUGGAGUGGGGGAUAACGUAGCGAAAGUUACGCUAAUACCGCAUACGAUCUAAGGAUGAAAGUGGGGGAUCGCAAGACCUCAUGCUCGUGGAGCGGCCGAUAUCUGAUUAGCUAGUUGGUAGGGUAAAAGCCUACCAAGGCAUCGAUCAGUAGCUGGUCUGAGAGGACGACCAGCCACACUGGAACUGAGACACGGUCCAGACUCCUACGGGAGGCAGCAGUGGGGAAUUUUGGACAAUGGGCGCAAGCCUGAUCCAGCAAUGCCGCGUGAGUGAAGAAGGCCUUCGGGUUGUAAAGCUCUUUUGUCAGGGAAGAAAAGGGUGCGGCUAAUAUCUGCGCCUCAUGACGGUACCUGAAGAAUAAGCACCGGCUAACUACGUGCCAGCAGCCGCGGUAAUACGUAGGGUGCAAGCGUUAAUCGGAAUUACUGGGCGUAAAGCGUGCGCAGGCGGUUUUGUAAGACUG
rnacentral:rRNA from 1 species